UUGGGACACGCUCUUCUUCCAGCAGCAGAUCUUGUGAGACAGGACACCUCUGCCUGAUCUCCCACAGAUCUGAGGGAUCACUGGAUCUUCACGCCAGCACCAGGACUUUGCUGGAGAAGAGCACAGAUCCCCAGCCCAGUCUGGGACACAGAACCCUGUGAAAUGGCAGAAGGAUUGUGGUGUGAAUGCAGCGCCCUCAGAGCCCUUGGUGUGAGCCCGGAAAGGAAAAUCAAGGGAAAUGGUUAAAGCCUUGUUGUUCAAUGUGGAGCACAGGAGAACUUUGUUCUCAUCGUCUCCCCGAUAAGGAGGAGGACUCAGAUCUUCUGGUUGGCCCCACGGGCAGGUUGAGUGGGGGAACAGAAAAUCAAGAUGCAGAAACCAAUCUUGCAGGGGAACUGGCAUGUGAAGAGGCAGAUUUAGCAUGUCCAGAAGGAAAGGGAGAGAGAAUGUGUCAGAGAGAGAGCAGAGAGCUUCAGUGCAGCUGCAGGAAGAACUAGAGCUGAACAAGGAGGGGUGGGAGUGGCCCCCCUGUGUGA